GCUCAGCGACCCAACUCGUUGUGCGAAAGUCCAGACAGUGGUCUAGACCCCUCAAACACUCGCUAAGCGCAUCCAUUCGCUGAUCGAAUAAAAUUGAUAGUGCUCCCAAACCUCAACCACUCACUCAACGCACCUUCUCGUCGUGCGAAUCAUCAAACAGUUUGCCAACCUCCACGACCACUCGUUGAGCAACUCCACUCGCUUAGUGAGUUUACACAAAAUUUACAGAAUUACACAACAUCCACC
rnacentral:lncRNA from 1 species